AUAAGUGAAUAGUGAAAUCUGGCGGCUCAACCGUACAGGCUAUUAUUCAAACUGGCAAACUCGAGAAUGGUAGAGGUAACUGGAAUUUCUUGUGUAGGAGUGAAAUCCGUAGAUAUAAGAAGGAACACCAAUGGCGUAGGCAGGUUACUGGACCAUUUCUGACACUGAGGCACGAAAGCGUGGGGAGCGAACCGGAUUAGAUACCCGGGUAGUCCACGCCGUAAACGACGGAUACUA
rnacentral:rRNA from 1 species